rnacentral:lncRNA from 1 species
CUGAGGCAGAACUUGUCAUCAGGAACCUCCUGGAGUUGGCUCGGAGGAACCAGCUGGCUUUAAAGCCUGGAUCUUCUCCUUGCUGAUGGCCUUAGGAACUCUCCUCUCUCCUGCACGACAAUGCCAGGUGGUUUAGGGCUAAAUCAGGUCUCAGGCAUGGAGUACAAUACAGGGGCAGAUACGCAUGAGGGCUCGCUCUGUGAGAGCUAGUCAGGAGUGGCAGCCUUGGUGUAUCGGUCAGCUGUAGAAGAUGCACUGCCAAGGCCCUGUGAAAGGAGGUCCUAUAAGCCACUGGGAGACAGAGCUCACUGUUAAUGGGAGCACUCUGAUUGUAUGUAUGGCAGCCAUUGUCAAAGUCUAUGACACUGAGCUCAUCAAAUGGAAGCUACUUCCUGCUGUAACCCAGACACUCGCACAGAUGAUGCAGCUGGCAAUUACAGUUGUAACAUGUCUUCCAACUUCACGCUAAAGGAGCUCCC